UACAGAGGUCCCAAGCGUUGUUCGGAUUCAUUGGGCGUAAAGGGUGCGUAGGCGGCGCGGUAAGUCGGGUGUGAAAUCUCGGAGCUUAACUCCGAAACUGCAUUCGAUACUGCCGCGCUUGAGGACUGGAGAGGAGACUGGAAUUUACGGUGUAGCGGUGAAAUGCGUAGAUAUCGUAAGGAAGACCAGUGGCGAAGGCGGGUCUCUGGACAGUUCCUGACGCUGAGGCACGAAGGCCAGGGGAGCAAACGGG
rnacentral:rRNA from 1 species